GACGAACCGAGCGAACGUUGUUCGGAAUCACUGGGCUUAAAGGGCGCGUAGGCGGGCUGCCAAGUCCGUGGUGAAAUCCCCCGGCUUAACCGGGGAAGGGCCUCAGAUACUGGCGGCCUCGAGGGGGUAGGGCGUGCGGAACUGUGGGUGGAGCGGUGAAAUGCGUUGAUAUCCACAGGAACUCCGGUGGCGAAGGCGGCGUCCGUGGCUCGCAUCUGACGCUCAGACACGACAGCAUGGGGAGCGAACGGG
rnacentral:rRNA from 1 species